UACGAAGGGUGCAAACGUUGCUCGGAAUUAUUGGGCGUAAAGCGCACGUAGGCGGCAUUGCAAGUCUGAUGUGAAAUCCCUCGGCUUAACCAAGGAAGUGCAUCGGAAACUGCAGUGCUUGAGUACUAAAGAGGAUCGCGGAAUUCCCGGUGUAGAGGUGAAAUUCGUAGAUAUCAGGAAGAACACCGGUGGCGAAAGCGCUCUGCUAGGCCGCAACCGACACUGAGGGACGAAAGCUAGGGGAGCGAAUGGG
rnacentral:rRNA from 1 species